AAGGUUUUAGUUAAAUAAUAACAGUAGUCUGUCAGCCUUCAAUUACCUAUAAGUAAACCUUA
rnacentral:tRNA from 1 species